UCUUGCUGAUAGAUGUUCUGAGCAGCAUUGUUGGAGAAAGGGAAAAGAGUGGGGCCCCUCAUAGGGAGCAGACAGUAUGGAGAGGAGCUGCAGAACUGUGGAGGCAGCUUGGAGGCACUGGCCACCUGAUGGCAGACUGGAAGGGUAGAGCAUGAAAGAAGAGGGAGGUGAGAGGAAAACUAUUUCCCACUCUUACCCUGAAAUAUCCCCAAGUCCUGAGCCCAGAGUCUGAGACCUGCCACAUCUGCAGAAAGGAAACCACUUAUUGGUUCUCAUCAGAAGAAAAAAAAUUAUUUUCACCUGUAAUUGCAGCAAAAGAUUCCAUGGUGUCUACCUGAGGUCCAGAAAAGAAGGAACUUGUGCUCACUUCCAGAGAAGAAGAUCAAAUGCACAUUUAUGUGUUGUUAUUUCUUGAACAAAGGACAUCAUGAUCACUUAUGUGGCUACAUACAUCUACAAUGGAUCUGUGGCAAAGGCAUAAAGACUCCAUUUCUGUCAACUUCGGAGCCUGUUCUCAUUCUUUGCUUGCUCUACCACUAAUGCCAAUAACUUGGGUCUCAUCAAACACGCCAACGAAGACCUCUACACCACUCUGUGAAGGCUGCAUGGAAGGUUGGGGGCUUGAGAGCCCUCUGCAGUGUCCUCAAACCCCUCCUGUCUCUUCUGGUGAAGGUGAUCACCAGGAUGAUGCUCCACAUUGCCUGUGUGGGUCUGGCCUGAGCCCCAUCUGUAAAACAGGAUACAAAUGUCUGUCCCAGCAUUGAUUCCUUAAGGCAUCCAUCAGUAAUAUCCACCACCACCAGAGGCUCCUGUUACUGCUGGGAUUCCCAGCUACUUCCCAUUUCCACACAAUGAUCGUGUUCUCUGGAUCUGGACUCAGAAUUAGAUCACCAAGCAAAAAUCCAGUGCACUACAUUGAGUCUCAAAGUAUUCCCUGGGAAAUUGGUUCUUAGUGGAGCAAGGUGGGAUGUUUCAGUAGCUUCCUGUUACCUGACAAAACACAGAUUCGAAGAGAUAAACCGCAGCCUUGUUCAUGCAAUAUGGUUACUUAUGUCUGGCAUCAUCAAUGAAUAAACCCAUCACCUGAGAGCAUCUUACAGCUAUUUGAGGCUAACUCAUUAAAACAUGAUAUUAUUCUACAUUUAGGCAAUUUAAAAGAAUUUUCUGAACUGCAUAGCACUCAUGUGACUUCCAAAAUAGCAUACACUAAACGGUAAUUAAUAUUUUCAAAAGGAAGAGGUCUUAUAUAUGUGAUGCAGGUGAUGAGGCUUUCCAAACAAGGGGGAUAAAAGAAUGGAACAAAGGCCUUGAGCAAGCUUGUUUCCCUCCCCCUUCCCUCUUUUACUGAAUGCUGACUCUAGGGUGGGAAGUGGGGCUUGUCUUCAUGGAGUUUAGGAGCUACUAGGGGGAGAAGACCUCAAAGUAAAGGAGAAAGGGAGAAAACAUUAUAAGGUCUAUGACUGGAGACAAGACCUCCCUUCUCCUACUUCCCCUUCCUUCUGUUUUCUGGAUAUAUGUAUAUAUAUUUAUGUAUACAUGUGUAUAUGUAUGUAUAUUUGUAUACAGGUGUAUAUAUGUAUAUAUGUAUAUGCAUGUAUGUACGUGUAUAUGUAUGUGUGUAUCAGGUAACUUACAAAAGUACAUAAGGAACAAGAUAGAAGAAAUUAAGAGGGAGAAAUUUGGAAGUAAGAAAAUGAUAGAAGUCAGGUUAGUCAACAAAUCAUAUUCCUUAAGUCUUAUCUAAAUUGCUGAGGGUGGGCCACCAAUUUAUAUCUGACUUCCCAGCAGCCAAUGCAAAGAGAAAUGCACACCAAUUGCAUAAUUCACAGUGUCUGUGAGAUUGAGACUAAUGGGUCCCAAGUAACCCCAUGGAUUAGGGUGCCACAUCAUAACAAGGCAUAUGGUAUAUACGCAGCAAUGUCCUCGACAGCAUUUCUAAUUGCAUCAAGAAGUUUCAUAGGGUGUGACAUAAGUUCAUAGGGUUUGGAGAAAGUGAAAGAGAUUACAUUAAAUUCUAGCUGGAGCUAAACUAUUCUGUUGGGAUUGGCUGGUUAAUAUGAGCUUCCACCUAUAAUUUCCUGUAGUUCCAUAUUCUGUUUUAGGUGCUAGGUUAGAGGUAUGCACUGGAGAUUAUGGGAGUGGAGAGGAAUACUGCCUUCUGCCUUUAUCAGAGAAUGGGCUGAUGCCAGGGAUCUGGAGGAGAUGAUGCCAGUAGAAGUAUCCAGUGGGAGUUGUCCAGAGGGAAGAGGCAUUCCAAGCAUGAGAGAAUAGCAUCAGGGGCCACAGAGGGAUGGAGAGUGCUGGUAGGACCUAUGGGCAGUUUGGCACUGGUUAAGUCUGAGAUAUGAGGCAAGGUAUGAUGGGGGUGGAGGCAAGGGCCAGACUGUGCCCAUCUUAUGUACUCUACUAAGGAAUAUGGCUUCGUUCUAUGGAGAGGUACUGAGAUGCCACUGAAGAGAUUUAGGUAGCGGAGGUAUAUCUGCUAACUAUUGCAUUAAUGCCACAUAAUGUAUCUCAUCAAAACCCCAUGGCUUAAAUAACGGUUAUAUAUUCUUGCACACUGAUGCAAGGGUUUGUGAUGGGAGGGAGGCUCUACAUCAGGGUGCAGGUCUAUAAAAUGCCUGGGGUGGCACUGGCUGGGGCCCAGACUGAAGGAACAGCAGCUACCCAAAGUUAGUUCUUCUGUCAGUAACCUGUGGAAGUACAGGGCGAUGAGGGGACAAACAGAAGGCAUACCCCUCAGAUACACGCACAUUCCAUUAGCAAAGCAAGCCCACGGUCAAGCACAAUAUCCCUGGGGCGGGAAGAUAAACUCUACCCGCUCGGUGGGAGCUACCACAAAGUCACAUGUGGUGUGAAUUACACUGGGAGGCUGUGAAGAACUAUGAGUAAUGAUUCAAUCUAUGUUAGGGGCGAAGCAAGUGGACUUCACUUUGUAGAUAGUUUACUUAGGCAGCUGUGUGGAAAUCAGUUUUCAGAGAGGUGAUACUGGCAUCAGGGGGACCAGUGAGAAGGGUCAGGUGAGACCUAGUGAGGCGAUAGUGAGUGGUGAUGGAACAGAGGUAAUUCAAAACAACAGAGGAGAUAAAGCCAUCAGGGCUUAAGGACUUACAGCCAUUUAGGGCUGGGUUUUAGAUUCCUCCAUUUACUGUACCCAGGGUCUACUGCUGAGACUGCAGGCAAAACUGUUUCUAUCACAUAUCUGUUUUCUUAUUGAAACAACUCUGAUUUUACUUGUGGCAUUAAUGUGCCUACCUUUAAAAGUGUUUCCUAGUUUCCCUUGCAGGUGGGAGGUGGUUACAUGGCAAGCCCUGGCUAUUAGGAUAUAAAUGAGAUUCAUUGGGUCGUAUUACUAGGAAAACGCUUUAUUUUUUUUAAUUAAUUAAUAUUUCUUUUUAAAGUUUAUUUAUUUAUUCUGAGAGAAAGAGUAUGCACAAGUAGAGGAGGGGCAGAGAGGAGAGACAAUCACAAGCAGGCUCGGUGACAAAAGCACAGAGCCCGAUAUGGGGCUCAAACUCAUGAGCCAUGAAAUCAUGACCUGAGCUGAGAUCGAGUCAGAUGUUUAGCUCACUGAGCCACUCAGGUGCCCUAGGAAAACCUUUUAAGGGAGCACGUGUACUGUUGCCGUUUGCUCAUAUCUUUGGCCUGCCCCAAAUGUAGAAGGAUGGCCGGCGCUCCAGCAGCCAUCUUGUUGCCAGGAGGCAACCAUACCAAGGAUGGCUGAGCAGAGAGGAGUCUUUUCGAUGAUAUAAGGACAACAUACCAACCCUCAACCGAAUGUCAGUUAUGUGAGAGAAAAUAAGUGCCUUCUUUGAGUGACUGUUUUUUGAGUUUUCUGUUUUUAGCAGCCAAGUUUGUGAUACCACACAGGACAUUAACAACAUGAAGCAACAUUAUUCAUUCAAUUACUAUCCUGAGUCCAUGACCAAAAUUGGAAACAAUAAAACUUCACCAAGGUGACAUAGUCCGAUAGUUAAGUAGCUGCUAGUGCAUAUACAUUUGUGGUGAAAUUUUUCUUUGGUUUCUUGCUUCCUUGAUCUCUCAGCAUAGGUCUGGUCACUCCUUCCAGCCAUCUAGAUCUGCCUUUGAAUAGCCGCAUAGGUGUUAAAUGUCUGAGAGAGUUAGUGGUGAAGGGUGCUGGUUGUUUGAUGUUGAAACAGGACUCUUAAAGAACAAACCUGAUGGAGGAAAAAAAAACAAACAAAACCAAAAACAAAAAAACAAAAAAACCACACAGAUGUGGUGGAUGGCUCCCA